AACCGCAGCGGCUUGGAGGAUCUGAACAAAGCCCAAAUCCUAUUGGUUGGCCAGUUUUCUGUCGCAUUGACUGCUUGCCAAUGUUUGUGACAGACACGUUAACGGCCAUUCAUUCAUGAAAGUUUAUCGCACCAAACUUUCAUUCGAUGAGAACAGGCCUUGAAAACAGGAACAUGAAUAGACUCAGUGUUGAUGUCAUGUGGACCAGUAAAGGUGAAGCUGAUAAUCGCUUGUCAGUUGAGUUUCUUGACUUUGGUCCAGUUAUGAAGAAUGGAAGAAGAAGUAUAAGAUCGAUGACAGAUCGUCAGACUCGGAUGGAGAAACUGGAGGAGCAAUCAGAGGGAGGAGCUUUGGUGGUCAUAGAGGCAGAGGACAAGGAGGAGCUCAAUCGCAGCCGGCCCAGCAGCAGAGCGGCUCACGUGUGCUAUCCGAGCUGAAAAACCGCGAGCAGAUUCUCAAGCAGCGCAAACGGAAAGCCAAACAGCAGUUUCUGCAGAGUGGCGGCAUGAAGAAGCUCCAUGCCAAAGGAAGACGGCGCCUGUAGGAAGUGAUGAAAUCUGGCUUUGGUCGUGGCAGCAACAAGAAAGGAAAGAUGAGGAAGAAACUUUAAGAGCCAAAUGAGGAGUCAUUACAAACUAUCCCACCUCCCCAGCACAGGCUUUCGACUUGUGGUGCGGAAAACAGGAUGGACCACAUUUUAUGUAUAUGUACAUAUUAUAUACAAGAUGUGUGCUUGCAUGUGUCUAGAAUAUGGAUAGAAUGAGUGAAGAGACUUUAACUCUUUUACAGAAACAUUCACAUAUGUCUGACAUUCUCUUUAGUUGAUUUAAAGGGAUAUUUCGGGUUCACCUGAAACUCUAUUGACAGCAGUUGUGGAACUUGUGGCUGAAUGCCCAUUAGCACAGAAAAUAAUUUUGCCAUUUCAAAAAAAAAAUGUAUUUAAUAACUGCAAAAACCAUGACAGUUACAGUAGGCUUUCACGUCAUACGUCAUGCAUGAAGGGUUUCACAAAACCUCUUAACGUAAGAAAGCCUAAUUAAUAAGUUUAUAAUUGUGCUUAAGGGUUUUGUGGACCCAGGCCUGGGGACACGAACAAACUUAUCUCAGGAUUUAUCUUGGAAAAGUAGUUAAAAUGAAAAUGGUGUUAAAGAAUUGUGUUAUAAUAACCCCUACAAAUUCUCAUUAUAUACACACUAUAAACACUUUAAAGGAGACAGA
rnacentral:lncRNA from 1 species